GAUGAACGCUGGCGGCGUGCCUAAUACAUGCAAGUCGAGCGAACGGACGAGAAGCUUGCUUCUCUGAUGUUAGCGACGGACGGGUGAGUAAGACGUGGAUAACCUACCUAUAAGACUGGGAUAACUUCGGGGAACCGGAUCUAAUACUGGAUAAUAUUUUGAACCGCAUGGUUCAAAAGUGAAAGACGGUCUUGCUGUCACUUAUAGAUGGAUCCGCGCUGCAUUAGCUAGUUGGUAAGGUAACGGCUUACCAAGGCAACGAUGCAUAGCCGACCUGAGAGGGGGAUCGGCCACACAGGAACUGAGACACGGUCCAGACUCCUACGGGAGGCAGCAGUAGGGAAUCUUCCGCAAUGGGCGAAAGCCUGACGGAGCAACGCCGCGUGAGUGAUGAAGGUCUUCGGAUCGUAAAACUCUGUUAUUAGGGAAGAACAUAUGUGUAAGUAACUGUGCACAUCUUGACGGUACCUAAUCAGAAAGCCACGGCUAACUACGUG
rnacentral:rRNA from 1 species